rnacentral:rRNA from 1 species
AGAGUUUGAUCAUGGCUCAGAAUCAACGCUGGCGGCGUGCCUAACACAUGCAAGUCGAACGAGAAAGUCCCGCAAGGGAUGAGUAAAGUGGCGCACGGGUGAGUAACACGUAGCUAACCUGCCCUCGAGUGGGGGAUAACCUGGGGAAACUCGGGCUAAUACCGCAUAACGUCCUGGUUGCGCGAGCAGCCGGGAUCAAAGGCCCGCAAGGGUUGCUUGAGGAGGGGGCUGCGGCCGAUUAGCUAGUUGGUGAGGUAACGGCCCACCAAGGCUAUGAUCGGUAGCCGGCCUGAGAGGGCGCACGGCCACACUGGCACUGAAACACGGGCCAGACUCCUACGGGAGGCAGCAGUGGGGAAUUUUGCACAAUGCCCGAAAGGGUGAUGCAGCAACGCCGCGUGAGGGAUGAAGGCCUUCGGGUCGUAAACCUCUUUCGAUCGGGAAAAACGGGCUGGUGAAGAGCCAGUUCUGAUGGUACCGGAUGAAGAAGCCCCGGCUAACUACGUGCCAGCAGCCGCGGUAAUACGUAGGGGGCGAGCGUUGUUCGGAAUUACUGGGCGUAAAGGGCGUGUAGGCGGUGCGGUAAGUCGGGCGUGAAAUCCCCGGGCUUAACCCGGGGCGGUCGUUCGAACUGCCGUGCUAGAGUGCAGGAGAGGGAAGUGGAAUUCCCGGUGUAGCGGUGAAAUGCGUAGAUAUCGGGAGGAACCCUGCGGCGAAGGCGGCUUCCUGGACUGCAACUGCGCUGAGGCGCGAAAGCUAGGGGAGCAAACAGGAUUAGAUACCCUAGUAGUCC